AACGAACGCUGGCGGCGCGUUUUAAGCAUGCAAGUCGGACGGUAGAGGGAGCUUGCUCCCUUGAGAGUGGCGAACGGGUGAGUAACACGUAGAUGAUCUGCCUUUUAAGUUGGGGAUAGCUCAUGGAAACAUGGGGUAAUACCGAAUACGUUCUUAUUAGUAAAGUGGUAAGAAGAAAGGGGCUAAGGCCUCGCUUAAAGAUGAGUCUGCGGUUCAUUAGCUAGUUGGUGGGGUAAAGGCCUACCAAGGCGACGAUGAAUAGCCGGCCUGAGAGGGUGAACGGCCACACUGGAACUGAGACACGGUCCAGACUCCUACGGGAGGCAGCAGCUAAGAAUCUUCCGCAAUGGGCGAAAGCCUGACGGAGCGACGCCGCGUGUAUGAUGAAGGCCGUGAGGUUGUAAAGUACUUUUCUCAUUGAAGAAUAAGCCGGGGAGGGAAUGCCCUGGUGAUGACGUUAGGUGAGGGAUAAGCAACGGCUAAUUACGUGCCAGCAGCCGCGGUAACACGUAAGUUGCAAGCGUUGUUCGGAUUUAUUGGGCGUAAAGGGGGCGUAGGCGGUUUAUCAAGCUUGAUGUGAAAUCUCCCAGCUUAACUGGGAAUCCGCGUUGAGAACUGAUAGACUAGAGUAUAAGAGGGGGAGUUGGAAUUCCAGGUGUAGGGGUGAAAUCUGUAGAUAUCUGGAAGAACACCGGUGGCGAAGGCGAACUCCUGGCUAUAUACUGACGCUGAGGCGCGAAAGCGUGGGGAGCAAACAGGAUUAGAUACCCUGGUAGUCCACGCUGUAAACGAUGUGCACUAGGUGUCGGGGAGAUAUUCUCGGUGCCGUAGCUAACGCGUUAAGUGCACCGCCUGGGGAGUAUGCUCGCAGGGGUG
rnacentral:rRNA from 1 species